AGCGACAGAUAAGGAGCUUGCUCCUUUGACGUUAGCGGCGGACGGGUGAGUAACACGUGGAUAACCUACCUAUAAGACUGGGAUAACUUCGGGAAACCGGAGCUAAUACCGGAUAACAUAUUGAACCGCAUGGUUCAAUAGUGAAAGGCGGCUUUGCUGUCACUUAUAGAUGGAUCCGCGCCGUAUUAGCUAGUUGGUAAGGUAACGGCUUACCAAGGCAACGAUACGUAGCCGACCUGAGAGGGUGAUCGGCCACACUGGAACUGAGACACGGUCCA
rnacentral:rRNA from 1 species